UGGGGAAUAUUGCACAAUGGGCGCAAGCCUGAUGCAGCCAUGCCGCGUGUGUGAAGAAGGCCUUCGGGUUGUAAAGCACUUUCAGCGGGGAGGAAGGCGGUGAGGUUAAUAACCUCACCGAUUGACGUUACCCGCAGAAGAAGCACCGGCUAACUCCGUGCCAGCAGCCGCGGUAAUACGGAGGGUGCAAGCGUUAAUCGGAAUUACUGGGCGUAAAGCGCACGCAGGCGGUCUGUCAAGUCGGAUGUGAAAUCCCCGGGCUCAACCUGGGAACUGCAUUCGAAACUGGCAGGCUAGAGGCUUGUAGAGGGGGGUAGAAUUCCGGGUGUAGCGGUGAAAUGCGUAGAGAUCUGGAGGAAUACCGGUGGCGAAGGCGGCCCCCUGGACAAAGACUGACGCUCAGGUGCGAAAGCGUGGGGAGCAAACAGG
rnacentral:rRNA from 1 species